UCCCCCGUCACUGGCCCUCAGUCUCGGAUUACUGCCUUUGCAGGCAGGCGGUCCCCUGCACCGCGGCUAGCUCUUGCCAUCAGAGCCCUGCCAGGAAGCAGUCUCCAGAUGAAAUCUGCUUUCCUAGAACCCUACCAUGGGCCUGAAUCCGGGUGGCACAGCUCAAGUCUGCCCCCUCCCUUUGGAAACUGAGGACAGCAAUGCCCCUGAGGGAGUCGUGCCUUCCUGGGUCCCAAGCAACUCCCAAGGGCAGGUGGAAUUCCCAAGGGAAAGCCAGCCAGUGGUAAGGAAAUGACAGGGAGCGCUGGCAACCGCCUCUUUGGAGCCCCUGGAGAUGAGCUUCAGGGAGAGGAGGACCAAUGAGUACUCCCACGGUGGCCGGCGUGGCAGGCUCAGGGUGACGGCGGCGGAGGAAGGCACUGGGAAGCUGAGCUUGCAAGAGCGGGGAUGGGCUCCGGAGCGUGGCUGUGGGAGCGACCUCUGCCUCCCGCUGCCCCGGGAUCCCCCUUGCACGGUAAAGAGGGAGCAAGGGCCGGCGAAGAGUGUUCGGGGACGCAGGGACAGGCUCUCGAGGGGCAGGAACCCCGCCCCCGCCCAGAAACCUCCCGG
rnacentral:lncRNA from 1 species